rnacentral:lncRNA from 10 species
AGACUCUGUCUCAAAAAAAAAAAAAAAGAAAAAAAAAAGAAAUGUAUCCCUCAUGAUAGGCUCUAUAGCAAACUCUACUGUAAAGGCUACAGUUACACAACAAACUUUAAAUUCUUUUGUGAAAGUAGAAUUGGCUGAACAAGGAAGUAUCUGCAGCUGCUGGCACUUUUGGCCUAUGGAGAAAUACAUCAAAUGAAGAUUAUAAAAAUUCAGUGGUAGGGGAUUAACAAAGAGACUGCCUAGUUAAGUGAGUAAACUCUUUAGCUCAUUCUUUGAUCUAUUUGAUUUUAGGAGGUUUGGUUUUUGGGGGACCUUGGGUAAGGAGCAUACUCCAAACUCUUGCUUUUAUCCUCCCAAUAGUCAUAAUAAUAGUCUCCCUGGUGAGCUGUUUUCUCUCAAAGGUUUUAAAUGCUGCAUGCAGCUGUCUCUAGGAUGUCAUAUGGUCUCUUUUCAACUGGAGUAACUGGAGCUGAAAGAAAUGUGCAACCAUGAGGACACUGUAACCUACAAAUGACAUGCUGCGACCGGAAACACAAAAUGAUGAGACCAUCAAGUUCCAGAUGAUCAUGCAACAAAGGUUCCAGCCAGUUCCAGGUGAAGACACCACCCCUGGUCAUCAGGAAGCUACCCUGUCUCUACUAGACAGAACAGGGCGAGAGUUCUGUGAUCCCCAAUAGGGUUUUGUAUAUGCAUUUGCCUCGGC